rnacentral:tRNA from 1 species
AUUUAAAUAACUUAAGAAGUAGAGUGUUAUAUUGAAGAUAUAAAAGUGAUUUUAAUUAUAAUCUUUAAAUA